rnacentral:rRNA from 1 species
GAUGAACGCUGGCGGCGUGCCUAAUACAUGCAAGUCGAGCGAACAGACGAGGAGCUUGCUCCUCUGACGUUAGCGGCGGACGGGUGAGUAACACGUGGAUAACCUACCUAUAAGACUGGGAUAACUUCGGGAAACCGGAGCUAAUACCGGAUAAUAUAUUGAACCGCAUGGUUCAAUAGUGAAAGACGGUUUUGCUGUCACUUAUAGAUGGAUCCGCGCCGCAUUAGCUAGUUGGUAAGGUAACGGCUUACCAAGGCAACGAUGCGUAGCCGACCUGAUAGGGUGAUCGGACACACUGGAACUGAGACACGGUCCAGACUCCUACGGGAGGCAGCAGUAGGGAAUCUUCCGCAAUGGGCGAAAGCCUGACGGAGCAACGCCGCGUGAGUGAUGAAGGUCUUCGGAUCGUAAAACUCUGUUAUUAGGGAAGAACAAAUGUGUAAGUAACUAUGCACGUCUUGACGGUACAUAAUCAGAAAGACACGGCUAACUACGUG